UGGUCCAAUGAAGCUAUUAGCAAACAUCGCUCUGCUCUCUUGGAGGUGUCUUGGACAAGCAGGAUAAUUAUGGACCUGGCUUCUGAAGUCAUACUUCGUGGAUCUGAGUUGGUUCUGUCAUUGGGUCCUCAGAAGAAAUGGACUUGAGGAACAUCAUGGAAUACAACAUACACCUGGACCUGACUUAUUUUUUAUUCUAAAUUAUUUUAAUUAAUCAGUUUACUUAUUUAGUUAGUUUUGGGCCAGGGUCUUAUCUGUACACUUCAAGCUUGCCUUGGGUCCCAGUGUGGACCAGGCUGGUCACAAAAUGUUGAUCCUCCUGCCUCUACCUCCUGAAUGCUGGGAUUACAAAUAUGUGUCAGCAUGCUGGAGUAGACGAGUUAAGUGAUGAAAACCAAGGCUUUAUCCUAGUGUCAGACUGAAAUGAGGCCUUGGACACCCUUAGGACUGAGUGCAAUAAGGUCUGUCUAUAAAGGAUGCAGCCUUUUGUUCAUCAGGCGGGUUGCAUCUUCCAAGGAUUUUUCAGUCUUACCCACCUUAUUUAUUCUUACGCAGUGUGACCUGUCGACUCGCCAUCAAAAGCUAGAAUGCUGUUUCCAUCCCCUUGGACAUGGGGAGGCUCAUGACUGCUUUGACCAGAGGUAUAGUGGGUAGAAGUAAUGUUAUGCCACUUUACAAGUCUGGGUCAUAAAUGAUUCCGAUUUUUGCCUUAUUUUCUGGAAUAUUUGCACCUGAUACUGUGGAUCAUUGUUUGAGAAACCCAACUACCAGACACAGCCAAAUUCUUACAAA
rnacentral:lncRNA from 1 species